GCUCCCCGUGGCCGAACUCAUCCAUACGAGUUCUUCAUGGUUCUCACCCUGCCGUUCCGGAAUUCUGGUUGCUGAUAGAUCUGUCCUACCAGUAUGGAAGUCGUUGUCGCUUCGGUUUCCUUAAUUAUCGCCAAUAAAUCCGCUCGAGGUCUCCUCCUCCUAUUCUCCCUCCGCCGCAGCUGAAAGAACCCCCACCAACAUCCCCAGAUCUAGCGAGUCGACGAGCUCCAUCGCCAAGGAAGCAGCUACGGUGGUGGCCCUAUCGGAAACGGCAAUGCUGCCGGCAGAUCGUGCAAACAAAUCCUUUCGAUAGAACUAUCACAUCUCCGUCCGGAAGGAACCGAUUGACUUCGUCGUCCACAUGGAGCAUCGGGUCAAUCGAGCAGAAGAAAAGCGUAAGCAGAAGGAGAUGGACGGCCUCGACGUGUACGAUUCUGCGCGGGCCCUCGCCAAAAGGAGGAAUUCCUGGCCGAGGCCAUGGGGACUCGGGAGCAGGUCCUGUACCUUGUCCCCAUGAGUGCGGAGGCCACCCCAGUCCCGGUGCUGCUCCUCCUGGGACGAUUGAAGUCAAGCCGUGCUUGGUUGAUACUCUGCAAUUUGGGUUGCCUUUUUAGUCCAGUGGCCGUGCUCUGUUCUUGGAUGCUCUAGGGAAUUCAGCUGCCACAGACGAUGCCUAUACUAGCACAUGCGAGGCGAAGAGAUCUCAAGUUAGACUGCACAUUGCAAUUGGUUGAUUGUACCGCUCUUACCCUGAUGACAUCCCUAGAGCAUAAUCAUUCUCAUGGAUAUUGGUAGAACGUUUCCUUUUGCUGUGAGGUGUUGCUACAUUUUACAACCGUGGAGAUUAUUUGUAGCUCAUGAGACUCGAGCCUCCCUUGAUGCUCUUGGUUUGCAGAUCUUUUUUC